rnacentral:rRNA from 1 species
UGUAUUUAAUAACUUGUUUUGUAUUUAUGUUUUAAUAUUUUUAUAGGAAAAAUAAUUUUGUGAAUUAAAUAUUUAGUAGUUUUUAAUGAAAAAAAAUAAAAUAAACUAUAGAAAAUAGUACUGUAAAGGAAAGUUAAUAAUAAAUUUUUAUAGUAAUUUUAAAAAUUUAUACCUUGUGUAUCAGGAAAAAUCUAUAUAAUCUAAUUAUUAUAGAUGUCUCGAAAUAAAAACAGUUAAUUUUAUAAAAAAGUUUUUGUAAAAAAUAAAUUUUUAAUAUGAAAUUAAAGAUGAAAUAUCAAUCGAGUUUUGUUAUAUCUAGUUUUUUAAAAAAUAAAUUUAAUUUAUCUUUUAUAUUUGAUUUUAUAUAAAAAUAAAAUGUAGGAGGGAUUAGCUUCUUAUAGAAAAAAAAUAAAAAGUUAUUAAUUUUUUAUUAUUUGAAUUAGUCUUAAAAGUAGAUGUAUUUGUAAAGUGUUUUAACUAAAUUUUUUUUAUUAUAAUAUUUAUAAUUAACUUUUUGUAUGUAUUAAGAAAUAAAUUAUAAUAAUGUAAGUUUUGAUAUAAUGAUUUUAUUAGUAGAAUUUAAUGUUUAUUUAAAAAAUAAAAUAAUGAUUAUAGUUUAAAUAAAUUUGUGAUAAUAUAAAGGAACUCAGCAAGAAAUUUUUCUGCCUGUUUAUCAAAAACAUGUCUAUUUGAAGAUAUAAAAAGUCUAGCCUGCCCACUGAUAAAAAAUUUUUAAGGGCCGCGGUAUUUCUGACUGUGCAAAGGUAGCAUAAUCGUUAGUUUUUUAAUUGGAAUCUUGUAUGAAUGGUUUGACAAGAAAAAAUCUGUCUUUAUAAUUAUAAAUUGAAUUUAACUUUUAAGUGAAAAGGCUUAAAUAAAUUAAAAAGACGAUAAGACCCUAUAAAACUUAAUAUAAGUUAAUUGUUUAGUAGAAUUUUUAAUAAUAAAUAUUUAAUAAUUAGUUUUUAUUUUAUUGGGGUGAUAAUGGUAAAAUGAUUAUUAACUGUUGAUUAUUUUAUAACAAAAAUUAUUGAAUAAAUAUAUAAUAAAUGAUCCUUGUUAAAGAUUAAAAGUUUAAGUUACUUUAGGGAUAACAGCGUUAUUUUUUUUGAGAGUUCUUAUCGAGAAAAAAGUUUGCGACCUCGAUGUUGAAUUAAAAUAUCUAUAUAAUUGUAGCAGUUGUAUGAGAAGGUCUGUUCGACCUUUAAAUUUUUACAUGAUUUGAGUUCAAACCGGUGUGAGCCAGGUUGGUUUCUAUCUUUUAAAUAUAUAAAAAUUAUUUUAGUACGAAAGGAUUAAAUAAUUAAAAUUAUUUUUAAUUUGAAUAA